GCCCACUGCUGGUUCUUCCCUCAGCUUUUGUUAUCCUGGCUCCGAGACUGUGGCUAUGAGGCAUCACUUUGAAAGGUCUCUACUAAGUUCCAUUCCAGUCUGGGGUCCUGGUAUUCUGUUGCAGAGAUGUGCUGUUCUCAGGCAGUUCUCCCUUGGUAGAUAAUGAUGUCUAUGAUCUUGCUACUCCACGAAUCACAUGCUGAGAACCUUGAUGUGCCCUGGCUGUGACAUCUUAUGACUUUUGGUUUUGGCUCUUCUGUCUCCAGAUGAAAAUUGGAGUUUGCAAACAAGCUGCCAGGGUACCAGAAUCUAUCUGAGGAACAACAGCAUAUUUUUCUGAGCUCCCAUGCUCCUCCCAGUGGUGUCGCGGAAGGAGACGUGUGAAUUCCCAAGCGCAGCACUGAGACAGACAUGGAGAAGCUGCUUUUGCUAAAAAAGCAUUGAUGCCUCACUU